rnacentral:lncRNA from 1 species
UCGGUGGGAAGGAGAGGGUGUAUUCAUUGGAUGUGGAGUCUACUAAAUAAGUAUCACGAGGCCCUCGCGCUCAGAGGUUGCCGGAAAUAAUGCGCCAUAAAUUUAUGGCAGAGCACCAUAACAUGAAUGCGCGUGAGUGAGGUGCGGAUAAACUUCAACACUUUCUUUUUCUCUUCAUUUUACGAAAAAAUGUAGAGUAGAAAAGAGUUACAUUAAAUA